UACGAAGGGGGCUAGCGUUGCUCGGAAUCACUGGGCGUAAAGGGCGCGUAGGCGGCGUUUUUAAGUCGGGGGUGAAAGCCUGUGGCUCAACCACAGAAUUGCCUUCGAUACUGGGACGCUUGAGUGUGGUAGAGGUUGGUGGAACUGCGAGUGUAGAGGUGAAAUUCGUAGAUAUUCGCAAGAACACCGGUGGCGAAGGCGGCCAACUGGACCAUCACUGACGCUGAGGCGCGAAAGCGUGGGAGCAAACAGG
rnacentral:rRNA from 1 species